rnacentral:rRNA from 1 species
GCUAAACGCGAAGAACCUUACCUGGCCUUGACAUGUCCGGAAUUCUGCAGAGAUGCGGAAGUGCCUUCGGGAAUCGGAACACAGGUGCUGCAUGGCUGUCGUCAGCUCGUGUCGUGAGAUGUUGGGUUAAGUCCCGCAACGAGCGCAACCCUUGUCCUUAGUUGCCAGCGAGUAAUGUCGGGAACUCUAAGGAGACUGCCGGUGACAAACCGGAGGAAGGUGGGGAUGACGUCAAGUCCUCAUGGCCCUUACGGCCAGGGCUACACACGUACUACAAUGGUCGGUACAGAGGGUUGCCAAACCGCAAGGUGGAGCCAAUCCCAGAAAGCCGAUCCCAGUCCGGAUCGGAGUCUGCAACUCGACUCCGUGAAGUCGGAAUCGCUAGUAAUCGCGGAUCAGCUAUGCCGCGGUGAAUACGUUCCCCCGGGUCUUGUACAC